GAACACACCAGUUUCACAGCAGGAGAGGAUAGAUAUAGCAAGACUAGAGAGGCGAGACGUUCAGGAUUAGAAGAAUCUGUAUGGCUGAAAGUGAGGUCACCACAGAGCACUGAGCAGACUUCCCUGUACUAUACAAAGACCGAGAAGCUAACGUGGGCUGG